rnacentral:rRNA from 1 species
GAUCCUGGCUCAGGAUGAACGCUAGCUACAGGCUUAACACAUGCAAGUCGAGGGGUAGCAGGGUAGCAAUACCGCUGACGACCGGCGCACGGGUGAGUAACACGUAUCCAACCUUCCCAUAACUCAAGGGAUAGCCUUUCGAAAGAAAGAUUAAUACCUGAUAGUACUUUUUCAAGGCAUCUUGAAAAAGUAAAGAUUUAUUGGUUAUGGAUGGGGAUGCGUUCCAUUAGAUAGUUGGUGAGGUAACGGCUCACCAAGUCUUCGAUGGAUAGGGGUUCUGAGAGGAAGGUCCCCCACAUUGGUACUGAGACACGGACCAAACUCCUACGGGAGGCAGCAGUGAGGAAUAUUGGUCAAGUGGGCGAGACGCCUGAACCAGCCAAGUAGCGUGAAGGAAUGAAGGUCCUAUGGAUUGUAAACUUCUUUUAUAGUAGAAUAAAGUGAGCCACGUGUGGUUUUUUGUAUGUAUACUAUGAAUAAGGAUCGGCUAACUCCGUGCCAGCAGCCGC